AGGACAACUAACUUCUGCCGUGACCCUGCAACCCUCCCCCAGCCACACCUGCCGCCCGCCCCACACCUGCCACACCUGCACUCUCCCACGACCCAGGUGUGUGCCGGGACUCGGAAAUGAGGGAACAACAUUUCGCGGACCCACAAUGACGCGCCAGGAGAGGAUGCGCGGCGCGGCACUCAGCGCUGGGUCUGUCCUGCCUCCGUGCACGUGACGCAGCGUUACCAGCUCGCCAGCAUCCCCGUGCACCGUGAAUGACCUCCGUGGAGAUGGAGGUAUCAAGACCAAGACACGCAGUGGGGAGGCCUCGAUGCAAGUGACAACGAGGAAUGAAGAGAAAAAGAAGACACACGACUCAUGUCUGUUCUUCUUUCCCUUCGCCUCUGCACCUGGGGAAUGACCACAGAGUGAACGAAGCAGAAGUCCCAUUGUUUCGAACCGCCGUAUUCCGACCCGUCAGUGAAGCAGAAGAGCCCAGUGACGGUCUGGGUGCUGUGCGGGAGGGCCACGCCGCUGCUGUCUCCCUCUGCAACGCCUUCGCUGUGUUAUUGGUGGGUGUUCUUACUCAUGAAGCCUUGCAGUAUUCCUCCAGAGUCUUCCACUGAUGAAUUAAGGCUUCGAAGACUUCAAUAAUGUGGCUCUUCCUGUCCUCCCCUUGAACUUCCACCGUAACCGUGUGCCACCGACUCCUGAAGCGAAGGGAAAAGACGAUUGAUUCUACGAGGCUCCCGACAACCCGCCAGCCUAGCUACCACGGCGUGAAAGAUUAGGAUUGAGCGUGAAACUUGAUGCACCAACGUGAAAAAUAUGCUUGAAGAACCUCUCUCCUACAUGGACUUGGCCGAGGGCCACUAAACACCCCCUUCACUUUGAGGCAGGGUACAACGUGCACCUGUGUAGCCACUGUCACCAUUGGCUGGGCUGACCACCUUCACUGCUGUUGCUAGGACCUACGUUUGUUCAUUGCGCAUAAGCCUUCCAAAACUGCUGCCAGGCUCAGGACUACCAAUGGAAGCCCCAUCAACUUCUGCAGGAGCCUUUUGAAAUAGAUGGACUAAGGCUUGGAAGAGUUUAAUAACAUGGGCCAGUGUACCUUCAUUUACCAGGUAGCUUUACUGUAACUGAGGGUGAUGGAGAGAAGACGGACUCCUGCUUCUUCAGAGCCCAGAAGUAGGAGGUCAGGACUUUCUUGGGACAACGUAAUCCACAGGACCUUGAGGCACUCAUGUUUCCCAAUAGUGGCAAUGUGACUCCCAAAGAAAGUUCUCAGUGAAUCCCAAUGGAACUGAAAAACAAAUACAAUAAGAAGGGUGAACUACAUGCUACAUACCACAACCGCUGGCUUGAUGGGCUUGAGGCACAGUGCAAUGUGAAGGUUUUUGAUGUUGGGUUCAGCAGCAGCAGAGAGCAAGGAAGUGCAGAGGAAGGUGGUAUCACACAGACUUA